rnacentral:rRNA from 1 species
CCUACGGGUGGCUGCAGUGAGGAAUAUUGGUCAAUGGGCGGGAGCCUGAACCAGCCAAGUCGCGUGAGGGAAGAAGGUACUGAGUAUUGUAAACCUCUUUUGCCAGGGGACAAAGGCGGCCACGGGUGGCCGUAAGAGGGUACCUGGAGAAAACGCAUCGGCUAACUCCGUGCCAGCAGCCGCGGUACUACGGGGGAUGCGAGCGUUCUCCGGAUUUAUUGGGUUUAAAGGGUGCGCAGGCGGCGUGUCAAGUCAGCGGUAAAAUGUCGGGGCUCAACCCCGGCCGGCCGUGGAAACUGGCGUGCUCGAGUGGGAGAGAAGGAUGCGGAAGUCGUGGUGUAGCGGUGAAAUGCAUAGAUAGCACGAAGAACCCCGAUGGCGAAGGCAGCAUACCGGCUUCACACUGACGCUGAGGCACGAAAGCGUGGGUAUCGAACAGGAUUAGAUACCCUUGUAGUC